CCUGGCUCAGAUUGAACGCUGGCGGCAUGCCUUACACAUGCAAGUCGAACGGCAGCACGGGAGCAAUCCUGGUGGCGAGUGGCGAACGGGUGAGUAACAUAUCGGAACGUGCCCAGUAGUGGGGGAUAACCCGGCGAAAGCCGGACUAAUACCGCAUACGACCUACGGGUGAAAGCAGGGGAUCGCAAGACCUUGCGCUAUCGGAGCGGCCGAUAUCAGAUUAGCUUGUUGGUGGGGUAAAAGCCUACCAAGGCGACGAUCUGUAGCUGGUCUGAGAGGACGACCAGCCACACUGGGACUGAGACACGGCCCAGACUCCUACGGGAGGCAGCAGUGGGGAAUUUUGGACAAUGGGCGCAAGCCUGAUCCAGCCAUGCCGCGUGCGGGAAGAAGGCCUCGG
rnacentral:rRNA from 1 species